rnacentral:rRNA from 1 species
AUGGGCUUGAGACUGAAGAAUGUUACCAUUAAACGCUGGGAGGCUCAGCACCUAGCCUCCAGCCCAGCAAGCAAGCAAGCAGAUGGACGGAUCAACAGGACAGAAAGAACAAAUUUGGAUGAAGCUACAACGGUCCCACAUAUUAAUCUGGAGGGAACUUCAAGCAUGUCCUCAGCCCCAAAAAUUGAUGUCUGCAACCAAAUUACAAAAGCUGUGAACACGUAUUUGACUGAUAAACCUUUACCGAAGCCUUACAGACUGAUGCUAACCGCACAGCAGCAAUUAACAGCAACAAAUAUUGGUGUCGAGAGCUACAACCCACCUGUUUCACCUCCGCCGGAUGAACCAAUUCCCAUCACUGUAGCUACCUCCCUACCGUCAAAUGUUACAGGGGCGACUGCUGACCGAUGCUACAUAUCUCUCCACCGUGGACUCAGCAAGGGAAAGAAUCCGGACGGUGAGAGCAGCCCCGACGGCGACUGCGGGAACCAUAGCCCUGGCGAAGGCGGCGGCGGCAUGGGCCCUGGCCCCAGGAUCCCUGUUCCUGGCAGCGGUGACAACAAGGGGAAGUUUGGCGUGAGCGGAGGGGGUUGCUGGAACCCCGGCGAGAGGAGCGGGUAG